UUUAAGUGCAACCAUAAGUUUCCGUGCCUAACUUUGAUCGUCCGUUUUAUUUGAAAUUUUUUUAUAAUUAGUAUUUUUGUUGUUAUGAAAUGAUAAAACAUAAAUAGUACUUUACUCGUGACUUAUGUUUUUAAAUUUUUUCAAAAAUUUUUCAAAUAAGACGGACGGUCAAAGAUGGGCGCGAAAAAAUAUAGCUGCACUUAAA
rfam:Oryza glumipatula chromosome 12, whole genome shotgun sequence.